rnacentral:misc_RNA from 1 species
UUCAUUAGAAAAUGAACCAAAUCAAUCGAUUUGUCUGGUUCAAAAGAAUUAAAUACAAAAUCUGCUAUAUGCUGAUGUAAAUAACAAUUCAAGGAGGAGCCGAUCAAGAAAAAAAGAGGAGGAAACAUUUCCCUUCUGACCGAUUCCUCCAACACAUUUGACUGUGAUACAAAUUGUGAGUGAAUACAGCUCCUUAGUUCGUCACAGUGCAAGCAGUUAACGAUGUGGAACCGAGUGACUGCAGCACCAUAGCUUCAAUUUAUCAAUGGCUUAGCCUUGCGAAUGUGGCCCAUACUAUUAACUAGAUCUUUGCGGAUGCAAACGGGGAACAUGUUGAUGCCUUUUAGCAAUUUCAACCGCCAAAGUACAUAUGGGAAACUCAACUGAUCGCGAGAAGUGAAUCGAACCACUUCAUUAAACCAGAGGCACACGAACAGAUUAGUUAAUGGUGUAUGCUCUCUCACAAUGACUGAAGCUUCAUUUAAAGCUGCAAUGAUUAAUAUUUUGUUGAUAACCAGAUCGAUAAUAACCCACCAUAAUUUUCUAUGCUUCUAUGAUACUAGUGAAUUCUGCCAAAGUAAAUGUGGUUCCAAGCUUUUACACUGUAGAUCUCAUCUCAUUUCUUAAUGGGAUUUUCCUUUCAGAAAGCUGAGACUUUCUCAAAGUCUAAUCUCUCCUAUUAGCACAAAUUUUCAGUCAAUAAACAGCUGUGCCUAAAUAUGUACAAGGAACACGCUACCAACAUUAGACCAUAAAGAUGGCCACAAUGUGCUUUUGUUUUAAUGCCAUGGUUGCACAUGAUAAUAUCGAAAGAAAAAACAAUUUACCCUUCUUUCCAUUAAAUCUCUUGUCUUCAGGCAAGCCAUCUUGUCGAUAUCUAGUCAACUGCACCUCAACAUCUUCUGGUGUGGCUUUGUGUUUAUUUACAACAGCUGUAGCCUCCUCGUACACAUUGCUGCGUGCUCCAUGUUGUGAAAUUGCUAAU